AAGCCCAGCUUGCUGGGUGGAUUAGUGGCGAACGGGUGAGUAACACGUGAGUAACCUGCCCCUGACUCCGGGAUAAGCGUUGGAAACGACGUCUAAUACUGGAUAUGAUCACCGGCCGCAUGGUCUGGUGGUGGAAAGAUUUUUUGGUUGGGGAUGGACUCGCGGCCUAUCAGCUUGUUGGUGAGGUAAUGGCUCACCAAGGCGACGACGGGUAGCCGGCCUGAGAGGGUGACCGGCCACACUGGGACUGAGACACGGCCCAGACUCCUACGGGAGGCAGCAGUGGGGAAUAUUGCACAAUGGGCGAAAGCCUGAUGCAGCAACGCCGCGUGAGGGAUGACGGCCUUCGGGUUGUAAACCUCUUUUAGUAGGGAAGAAGCGAAAGUGACGGUACCUGCAGAAAAAGCACCGGCUAACUACGUGCCAGCAGCCGCGGUAAUACGUAGGGUGCAAGCGUUGUCCGGAAUUAUUGGGCGUAAAGAGCUCGUAGGCGGUUUGUCGCGUCUGCUGUGAAAUCCCGAGGCUCAACCUCGGGCUUGCAGUGGGUACGGGCAGACUAGAGUGCGGUAGGGGAGAUUGGAAUUCCUGGUGUAGCGGUGGAAUGCGCAGAUAUCAGGAGGAACACCGAUGGCGAAGGCAGAUCUCUGGGCCGUUACUGACGCUGAGGAGCGAAAGCGUGGGGAGCGAACAGGAUUAGAUACCCUGGUAGUCCACGCCGUAAACGUUGGGCGCUAGAUGUAGGGACCUUU
rnacentral:rRNA from 1 species